AUUGAACGCUGGCGGCAUGCUUUACACAUGCAAGUCGAACGGCAGCGCGGGCUUCGGCCUGGCGGCGAGUGGCGAACGGGUGAGUAAUACAUCGGAACGUGCCCAGUAGUGGGGGAUAGCUCGGCGAAAGCCGGAUUAAUACCGCAUACGACCUGAGGGUGAAAGCGGGGGAUCUUCGGUCCUCGCGCUAUUGGAGCGGCCGAUGGCCGAUUAGCUAGUUGGUGGGGUAAAGGCCUACCAAGGCGACGAUCUGUAGCUGGUCUGAGAGGACGACCAGCCACACUGGGACUGAGACACGGCCCAGACUCCUACGGGAGGCAGCAGUGGGGAAUUUUGGACAAUGGGCGAAAGCCUGAUCCAGCAAUGCCGCGUGUGUGAUGAAGGCCUUCGGGUUGUAAAGCACUUUUGGCGGGAAGGAAAAGGACUGUGCCAAUACCACGGUUCGAUGACGGUACCCGAAGAAUAAGCACCGGCUAACUACGUG
rnacentral:rRNA from 1 species